rnacentral:lncRNA from 1 species
AGACGAACUAGUCAACAUGUUGGUCACUACUAAGGGAACCUUAAAGAAUUCAAGGGGUAUUGUUCUCGCUGUGGAACGGACUUCUUCAUCCAAGAGAAAGUUUGGUUGGAAGAAGAAGAGUAAAUCCAUGAAGAAGUAGAAGAAAGAGAGCAAGCCAAAGAAGGAUGUUCUAAAGAAGGCUGAAGCAAAGGAAAAAUAUUUCCACUGUGAUGUUGAAGGCC